rnacentral:rRNA from 1 species
AUUGAACGCUGGCGGCAGGCUUAACACAUGCAAGUCGAACGUGUGGCGGACGGGUGAGUAAAGCUUGGGAAUCUAGCUUAUGGAGGGGGAUAACUACGGGAAACUGUAGCUAAUACCGCGUACAAUAGGAUGAGCCCAAGUGGGAUUAGGUAGUUGGUGAGGUAAAGGUUCACCAAGCCGAAGAUCUCUAGCUGGUCUGAGAGGAUGACCAGCCACACUGGGACUGAAACACGGCGAAGAAUUCUACGGGAGACAGCAGUGGGGAAUAUUGCGCAAUGGGGACAACCUGACGCAGCCAUGCGGCAUGAAUGAAGAAGGCCUUCGGGUUGUAAAGUUCUUUCGGUAGAGAAGCGUUAACUACAGAAGAAGCAACGGCUAACUACGUGCCAGCAGCCGCGGUAAUAC